UACAGAGGGGGCAAGCGUUGUUCGGAAUUAUUGGGCGUAAAGAGCUCGUAGGCGGCUUGUCACGUCGGGUGUGAAAGCCCGGGGCUUAACCCCGGGUCUGCAUUCGAUACGGGCAGGCUAGAGUGUGGUAGGGGAGAUCGGAAUUCCUGGUGUAGCGGUGAAAUGCGCAGAUAUCAGGAGGAACACCGGUGGCGAAGGCGGAUCUCUGGGCCAUUACUGACGCUGAGGAGCGAAAGCGUGGGGAGCGAACAGG
rnacentral:rRNA from 1 species